rnacentral:misc_RNA from 1 species
GUGUGUGUGUAUAAAAAAAAAGGAGUGACUUUUAUAGUUAACCAGUAUAAGUGUAAUGAACCUUAUAAAAAUAUGUUUGUUUAAGUUAUACACUUAGGUCAUGUGAGAUUCUAUCUCAAAUUCCAUUUUCUGUAAAAUGCCAAAGAAUUCAGUACAUGAUUAAUGGAGGGCAGGCUGAGCAAAAAUUUUGUAGGAAGGCUGGGGCAUGGUGGCUGAUUGCCUUGGAAUUGGAAAUGAUUAGACCCAAGAGCUCUCUGCCUUUCCAUAGCUCUAUCAGUGUUGACUAGAAUGCAUUCAUGCUAAAUCAUUCUUGCAAAAUUUUCCUUUAUUGUGUGGUGAUUGUAUGUUACGUAUUUGGGAUUUAUGAGAUAACCAGAGCAAUUGAUAAUUCCUUGAAUGAAAUUCAUAGGAUCUCACUUUGGCACUAAACCAAACUUUUUCCCAUCUCAGUGGAUUCAGAUGACAUAUUUUA